UACGAACUGUGCAAACGUUAUUCGGAUUCACUGGGCUUAAAGGGUGCGUAGGCGGCCAUGUAAGUAGGGUGUGAAAUCCCCCGGCUUAACCGGGGAACUGCGCCCUAAACUGUGUGGCUUGAGUGAGAUAGGGGUGUGUGGAACUUCCGGUGGAGCAGUGAAAUGUGUUGAUAUCGGAAGGAACGCCGGUGGCGAAAGCGACACACUGGGUCUCAACUGACGCUGAGGCACGAAAGCCAGGGAGCGAACGGG
rnacentral:rRNA from 1 species